rnacentral:rRNA from 1 species
UACCAGCUCUCCGAGUGGUAGGGAUGAUUAUUGGGCUUAAAGCGUCCGUAGCUGGCUUAGCAAGUCUCCUGUUAAAUUCAGCGACCUAAUCGUUGACCCGCGGGAGAUACUACUAGGCUAGGAGGCGGGAGAGGUCGACGGUACUUUCGGGGUAGGGGUGAAAUCCUAUAAUCCCGGGAGGACCACCAGUGGCGAAGGCUGUCGACUAGAACGCGCUCGACGGUGAGGGACGAAAGCUGGGGUAGCGAACCGGAUUAGAUACCCGGGUAGUCCCAGCUGUAAACUAUGCGAGCUAGGUGUUGGGGUGGCUACGGGCCACUUCAGUGCCGCAGGAAAGCCAUUAAGCUCGCCGCCUGGGGAGUACGGCCGCAAGGCUGAAACUUAAAGGAAUUGGCGGGGAGCACCACAAGGCGUGAAGCUUGCGGUUC